AUGAGGUGUGGAGAGGCGACCAGAACGAGGAAGGAAAAGGGAUGGUGGAAAGAGGGAUGGCUACAACAAACUAUCAUGGAUGGAUCAGUAACCCGCGCCGCGCGCUUCAUCGGAUCAGCAGAGAGGCAUACCCACGCCGACCCGGGAUGGGCCGCCGCCGGCCUGGCCUGGACCACGCCAUGGUCCUUGACCUCCAAGGAUCUCGGCAAUGAGGGCCUACUUGACCACGCGUGCAACACCGUCGCCGCCAUGGUGGACGAGAAGUCGCCCGAUGAGAUCCGUGCCAUGUUCGGCAUCAGGCAGGCCUGCGGCUCCGCUACUCGACCGGACCCAAAGGUAGAGAAAGCGCUGCUGGCUCUCCACUUCGUCCGCUACCGCGGCGAUGGCGUCUCCGCGUACGACCCCAAGCUCCGUCGGUUCGUGGCCACCCGUUACUGUCGCAACUCACACCGGCAUCGCAUGAUAAACAGUUCAAAGCUAAAAGUGCAUAUUGAUAUAUUUGAUUCCCAAAUUAGGUUCUCACCGCCAGGAUGCGGAGGAGCCACCGUGGUCCGGCCUUCUCCCCGCCCGCGCCGCCGUCGCCGCCAACCAUCCUCCCCAUCCCGCCUCAACCAUCCUCACCGUCUCGCCGCCGUCGCCGAAAUCGACGCCCAAGGCAGCGGCGGGCAAGAAGCAAUAGAAGACCACCAAGGCGCCGACGGAGAAGAAGGCAAAGGCGGAGGAGAAGCCGGUGGCGAAGGACGAGGUGUGCGUGGAGUAGCCCGGAGCGAGGAGGAGGACGAGAUGGCUACCUCCGGGGAGCAGCAGAAGGAGUUGGGGCACGCGGCGGCGGUGGCGGCGGCCAAGAGGCGCAUAGCGCAGGCGACCAAGAAGGCCAGGAACGUGGCCGCCGGCGACAAGGAGCCCGAGUUCCUCGGCCAGCCCCCAUCCCUGCCGACGAGGCCCGCGCCAAGUGGCUGCAGCGCUACCAGUGUGGCUCGCCCAAGAGUUCUGAUUUCUGAUGGCUCUUUUGUUCUCCUGGUGCAGGUGCAAGCCACUGUUCAGCAAAUCCAGGGUAUCUUUGACCAUUGCUUAGCUGUUCAUGAUAAGCUAGAGACAUCAUUGCACGAUUUGUCUAGGACCGGAGACGCUAAAUCUUGCAAAGCAGCUCGUAAAGCUGUUGAUGCACAGUUUAAGGAAUUAGCGAAAGAGCUGAAGCUGCUAUUGUUAUCUGUAUAG
rnacentral:rRNA from 1 species